UACGUAGGGUGCAAGCGUUGUUCGGAAUUAUUGGGCGUAAAGCGCGUGUAGGCGGCUUGGCAAGUCGGGUGUGAAAGCCCUCGGCUCAACCGAGGAAGUGCGUUCGAAACUGCAGAGCUUGAGUGCCGGAGAGGGUGGCGGAAUUCCCCAAGUAGAGGUGAAAUUCGUAGAUAUCGGGAGGAACACCAGUGGCGAAGGCGGCUCUCUGGACAGGUACUGACGCUGAGACGCGAAAGCGUGGGUAGCAAACAGG
rnacentral:rRNA from 1 species